rnacentral:rRNA from 1 species
UAGGGAAUAUUGGGCAAUGGUCGAGAGACUGACCCAGCCAUGCCGCGUGCAGGAUGAAGGCUUUCUGAGUCGUAAACUGCUUUUAUCAGGGAAGAAUAAGCUCCAUGCGUGGAGUGAUGACGGUACCUGAGGAAUAAGCACCGGCUAACUCCGUGCCAGCAGCCGCGGUAAUACGGAGGGUGCGAGCGUUGUCCGGAUUUAUUGGGUUUAAAGGGUGCGUAGGCGGUUUGAUAAGUCUGGGGUGAAAGCCCGUUGCUCAACAACGGAACUGCCCUGGAUACUGUCAGACUUGAGGACAGACGAGGUUGGCGGAAUAGAAGAUGUAGCGGUGAAAUGCAUAGAUAUCUUCUAGAACCCCGAUUGCGAAGGCAGCUGACUAGACUGUAUCUGACGCUGAGGCACGAAAGCGUGGGGAGCGAACAGG